rnacentral:rRNA from 1 species
CACGUAGGGGGCAAGCGUUGUCCGGAUUUAUUGGGCGUAAAGAGCUCGUAGGCGGUUUGUCGCGUCGGGAGUGAAAACUCAGGGCUCAACCCUGAGCGUGCUUCCGAUACGGGCAGACUAGAGGUAUGCAGGGGAGAACGGAAUUCCUGGUGUAGCGGUGGAAUGCGCAGAUAUCAGGAGGAACACCGAUGGCGAAGGCAGAUCUCUGGGCCGUAACUGACGCUGAGGAGCGAAAGCGUGGGGAGCGAACAGG